rnacentral:sRNA from 1 species
ACUGGGAAUUCAGGGGUGAACAGACAGUCCAAGUCCUUGUUUUUGAGGACCUGGAGACAAACAAAUGAAUAAAUAAAUUCUAGAACUUCAGGUAUGGACAUUCACUUGGCCAGAAGAUUGUACGACAUGGCUGCUCAAAGGAGUCCAGAUGCCCACAUACCUGUGCUCUUUGCCCUCAUGAAACUGGAAACUACGCAUUUGCUCCGGGAUAUCCUGUUUUUUAAUUUCACAACGAGAUGGAACUGGCUGAAAUCGGACAACACCGUUGGACCACACUGGGACUUAUUUGUCAUUAGCCUCAUUGUUGCUGGGCUGAUUUUGUUGCUUAGAAAUCACCAUGGGUAGGAUGCGGAUCACAGGAAAACCUGCUCACGGGAAUCAGUUCACUCCAAGGUAUCCCCACUAAAUAAAGAGUUUCCCAUCCAAAUCAAGAGUCUGCUGCAGUUUCCCUCUCAGGGCUGUGAUGGAAAACGGACAAGACCUGGGGACCAUCCUAGAGAAACAACUUCAGACUUCCUGCUUAGUUGAGAAAACCCUUUGGGGGAUGCUGGGAACUGGUCACCUAAGACCUUGUUACCAAUCU